rnacentral:rRNA from 1 species
UGGUUGUCGUCAGCUCGUGUCGUGAGAUGUUGGGUUAAGUCCCGCAACGAGCGCAACCCCUGUGGUUAGUUGCCAGCAAGUAGCGUUGGGCACUCUAGCCAGACUGCCGGUGAUAAAUCGGAGGAAGGUGGGGACGACGUCAAAUCAUCAUGCCCUUUAUGUCCUGGGCUACACACGUACUACAAUGGCCGUUACAACGGGAAGCGAAGGAGCAAUCCGGAGCAAAUCCCUUAAAGGCGGUCCCAGUUCAGAUUGUGGGCUGAAACUCGCCCACAUGAAGGCGGAAUUGCUAGUAAUUGCAGAUCAGCAUGCUGCCAGUCGAAUACGUUCCGGGCCUU